CGGGGGUGUGUUUGGUAUCUUUCUAGCCUCUACAGGUGAUUUUCUAUCCAUUCUGGAACUUGUGCCUUUUUCGGGAUUGUUUAGCAUUAAAUCCAAACUGUUACAGCCAAGAUUUAUCCACUU